AUAUUAGACGAAUCAUCUGGAAAGAUGAAUCAAAGAAGGUAACAAUCCUGUAGUUGAAAAUAUUGUCUCUCUUGAGUGGAUCCUGAGUACGACGGAGCACGUGAAAUUCCGUCGGAAUCUGGGAGGACCAUCUCCCAAGGCUAAAUACUCUCUAGUGACCGAUAGUGAACCAGUACCGUGAGGGAAAGGUGAAAAGCACCCCGGAAGGGGAGUGAAAUAGAACCUGAAACCGUGUGCUUACAAGUAGUCAGAGCCCGUUAAUGGGUGAUGGCGUGCCUUUUGUAGAAUGAACCGGCGAGUUACGAUUUGAUGCAAGGUUAAGCAGUAAAUGUGGAGCCGUAGCGAAAGCGAGUCUGAAUAGGGCGUUUAGUAUUUGGUCGUAGACCCGAAACCAGGUGAUCUACCCUUGGUCAGGUUGAAGUUCAGGUAACACUGAAUGGAGGACCGAACCGACUUACGUUGAAAAGUGAGCGGAUGAACUGAGGGUAGCGGAGAAAUUCCAAUCGAACCUGGAGAUAGCUGGUUCUCUCCGAAAUAGCUUUAGGGCUAGCCUCAAGUGAUGAUUAUUGGAGGUAGAGCACUGUUUGGACGAGGGGCCCUUCUCGGGUUACCGAAUUCAGACAAACUCCGAAUGCCAAUUAAUUUAACUUGGGAGUCAGAACAUGGGUGAUAAGGUCCGUGUUCGAAAGGGAAACAGCCCAGACCACCAGCUAAGGUCCCAAAAUAUAUGUUAAGUGGAAAAGGAUGUGGCGUUGCCCAGACAACUAGGAUGUUGGCUUAGAAGCAGCCAUCAUUUAAAGAGUGCGUAAUAGCUCACUAGUCGAGUGACACUGCGCCGAAAAUGUACCGGGGCUAAACAUAUUACCGAAGCUGUGGAUUGUCCUUUGGACAAUGGUAGGAGAGCGUUCUAAGGGCGGUGAAGCAUGAUCGCAAGGACAUGUGGAGCGCUUAGAAGUGAGAAUGCCGGUGUGAGUAGCGAAAGACGGGUGAGAAUCCCGUCCACCGAUUGACUAAGGUUUCCAGAGGAAGGCUCGUCCGCUCUGGGUUAGUCGGGUCCUAAGCUGAGGCCGACAGGCGUAGGCGAUGGAUAACAGGUUGAUAUUCCUGUACCACCUAUAAUCGUUUUAAUCGAUGGGGGGACGCAGUAGGAUAGGCGAAGCGUGCGAUUGGAUUGCACGUCUAAGCAGUAAGGCUGAGUACUAGGCAAAUCCGGUACUCGUGAAGGCUGAGCUGUGAUGGGGAGAAGACAUUGUGUCUUCGAGUCGUUGAUUUCACACUGCCGAGAAAAGCCUCUAGAUAGAAAAUAGGUGCCCGUACCGCAAACCGACACAGGUAGUCAAGAUGAGAAUUCUAAGGUGAGCGAGCGAACUCUCGUUAAGGAACUCGGCAAAAUGACCCCGUAACUUCGGGAGAAGGGGUGCUCUUUAGGGUUAACGCCCAGAAGAGCCGCAGUGAAUAGGCCCAAGCGACUGUUUAUCAAAAACACAGGUCUCUGCUAAACCGUAAGGUGAUGUAUAGGGGCUGACGCCUGCCCGGUGCUGGAAGGUUAAGAGGAGUGGUUAGCUUCUGCGAAGCUACGAAUCGAAGCCCCAGUAAACGGCGGCCGUAACUAUAACGGUCCUAAGGUAGCGAAAUUCCUUGUCGGGUAAGUUCCGACCCGCACGAAAGGCGUAACGAUUUGGGCACUGUCUCAACGAGAGACUCGGUGAAAUCAUAGUACCUGUGAAGAUGCAGGUUACCCGCGACAGGACGGAAAGACCCCGUGGAGCUUUACUGUAGCCUGAUAUUGAAAUUCGGCACAGCUUGUACAGGAUAGGUAGGAGCCUUUGAAACGUGAGCGCUAGCUUACGUGGAGGCGCUGGUGGGAUACUACCCUAGCUGUGUUGGCUUUCUAACCCGCACCACUUAUCGUGGUGGGAGACAGUGUCAGGCGGGCAGUUUGACUGGGGCGGUCGCCUCCUAAAAGGUAACGGAGGCGCUCAAAGGUUCCCUCAGAAUGGUUGGAAAUCAUUCAUAGAGUGUAAAGGCAUAAGGGAGCUUGACUGCGAGACCUACAAGUCGAGCAGGGUCGAAAGACGGACUUAGUGAUCCGGUGGUUCCGCAUGGAAGGGCCAUCGCUCAACGGAUAAAAGCUACCCCGGGGAUAACAGGCUUAUCUCCCCCAAGAGUUCACAUCGACGGGGAGGUUUGGCACCUCGAUGUCGGCUCAUCGCAUCCUGGGGCUGUAGUCGGUCCCAAGGGUUGGGCUGUUCGCCCAUUAAAGCGGUACGCGAGCUGGGUUCAGAACGUCGUGAGACAGUUCGGUCCCUAUCCGUCGUGGGCGUAGGAAAUUUGAGAGGAGCUGUCCUUAGUACGAGAGGACCGGGAUGGACAUACCUCUGGUGUACCAGUUGUCGUGCCAACGGCAUAGCUGGGUAGCUAUGUAUGGACGGGAUAAGUGCUGAAAGCAUCUAAGCAUGAAGCCCCCCUCAAGAUGAGAUUUCCCAACUUCGGUUAUAAGAUCCCUCAAAGAUGAUGAGGUUAAUAGGUUCGAGGUGGAAGCAUGGUGACAUGUGGAGCUGACGAAUACUAAUCGAUCGAAGACUUAAUCAA
rnacentral:rRNA from 1 species